AUUGAACUCUAAUAAUGUUUUUUUUAUGUUUGUAGAUUCAUUACGAUCAAGUCGGAAAAGAUGGGCUUUUUAGCCAUAAAGAGGUAACUGUUCUCUAUCUUCCCGAUUUAUCAGAUUGUUUACCUUCGGUAGAUGUUGGAGGGAUCAGUGGCUUGCCAACAAGAAAGCAACUGCUGAGAGAGAACGUCUACAUACUCUUAAAAGAGAGAUCUCCCGUGAAAAAAAGGAAGGCUUGAAAGACACCGAAUCUGAGAAAUCCAAAGAUGUGAAGAAGGAUUCAACACCAGUAAAAAAAGAAAGAGUUAAUUACUGUUUUCGUCCC